rnacentral:rRNA from 1 species
GACGAACGCUGGCGGCGUGCUUAACACAUGCAAGUCGAACGGAAAGGCCCUGCUUGCAGGGUACUCGAGUGGCGAACGGGUGAGUAACACGUGGGUGAUCUGCCCUGCACUUCGGGAUAAGCCUGGGAAACUGGGUCUAAUACCGGAUAGGAGCCAUUUUUAGUGUGAUGGUUGGAAAGUUUUCUCGGUGUAGGAUGAGCUCGCGGCCUAUCAGCUUGUUGGUGGGGUAAUGGCCUACCAAGGCGGCGACGGGUAGCCGGCCUGAGAGGGUGGACGGCCACAUUGGGACUGAGAUACGGCCCAGACUCCUACGGGAGGCAGCAGUGGGGAAUAUUGCACAAUGGGCGCAAGCCUGAUGCAGCGACGCCGCGUGGGGGAUGACGGCCUUCGGGUUGUAAACUCCUUUCGCUAGGGACGAAGCUUUUUGUGACGGUACCUAGAGAAGAAGCACCGGCUAACUACGUG